UACGGGAGGCAGCAGUGGGGAAUAUUGCACAAUGGGCGAAAGCCUGAUGCAGCAACGCCGCGUGAGCGAUGAAGGCCUUCGGGUCGUAAAGCUCUGUCCUCAAGGAAGAUAAUGACGGUACUUGAGGAGGAAGCCCCGGCUAACUACGUGCCAGCAGCCGCGGUAAUACGUAGGGGGCUAGCGUUAUCCGGAUUUACUGGGCGUAAAGGGUGCGUAGGCGGUCUUUCAAGUCAGGAAUGAAAGGCUACGGCUCAACCGUAGUAAGCUCUUGAAACUGGGAGACUUGAGUGCAGGAGAGGAGAGUGGAAUUCCUAGUGUAGCGGUGAAAUGCGUAGAUAUUAGGAGGAACACCAGUAGCGAAGGCGCUCUCUGGACUGUAACUGACGCUGAGGCACGAAAGCUUGGGGAGCGAACAGGAUUAGAUACCCUGGUAGUCCACGCCGUAAACGAUGAGUACUAGGUGUCGGGGGUUACCCCCUCGGUGCCGCAGC
rnacentral:rRNA from 1 species